UACGUAGGGUGCAAGCGUGUCCGGAAUUAUUGGGCGUAAAGAGCUCGUAGGCGGUUUGUCGCGUCUGCUGUGAAAACCCGAGGCUCAACCUCGGGCCGCAGUGGGUACGGGCAGACUAGAGUGCGGUAGGGAGAUUGGAAUUCCUGGUGUAGCGGUGGAAUGCGCAGAUAUCAGGAGGAACACCAAUGGCGAAGGCAGAUCUCUGGGCCGUAACUGACGCUGAGGAGCGAAAGCAUGGGGAGCGAACAGG
rnacentral:rRNA from 1 species